GGGAUAUAGCUCAGUUGGUAGAGUUCCUUCUUUGUAUGCACAAGGCCCUGGGUUCAAUCCCCAGCAUACCA
rnacentral:tRNA from 1 species